rnacentral:rRNA from 1 species
ACGAACGCUGGCGGCGUGCUUAACACAUGCAAGUCGAACGGAAAGGCCCUGCUUUUGUGGGGUGCUCGAGUGGCGGACGGGUGAGUAACACGUGAGUAACCUGCCCUUGACUUUGGGAUAACUUCAGGAAACUGGGGCUAAUACCGGAUAGGAGCUCCUGCUGCAUGGUGGGGGUUGGAAAGUUUCGGCGGUUGGGGAUGGACUCGCGGCUUAUCAACUUGUUGGUGGGGUAGUGGCUUACCAAGGCUUUGACGGGUAGCCGGCCUGAGAGGGUGAUCGGCCACAUUGGGACUGAGAUACGGCCCAGACUCCUACGGGAGGCAGCAGUGGGGAAUAUUGCACAAUGGGCGGAAGCCUGAUGCAGCAACGCCGCGUGCGGGAUGACGGCCUUCGGGUUGUAAACCGCUUUCGCCUGUGACGAAGCGUGAGUGACGGUAAUGGGUAAAGAAGCACCGGCUAACUACGUG